rnacentral:rRNA from 1 species
UUUAUGGAGAGUUUGAUCCUGGCUCAGGAUGAACGCUGGCGGCGUGCCUAAUACAUGCAAGUCGAGCGAACAGACGGGGAGCUUGCUCCCCCGACGUUAGCGGCGGACGGGUGAGUAACACGUGGGCAACCUACCUAUAAGACUGGA